rnacentral:misc_RNA from 1 species
CGACUGAAGGCAGUGGAAGAAACUGCAAAAUAAAGGAAAAAUGAAAUAAUAUCUGCUUAACACUUAAAAAUAAUUUAUUUCUCUCUUAAGUUAGACAGAAAUUAAUUAAGAAGACAUUAAAAAAAAUGUAUUUAUAUAAUUUCAACCUCGACAUUCAAAAAUGAUAUCAUUUUUCCUCAUGAGAUUAGUUAGAAUUAAAUGAGUAGAACAUAGGAUCUGAAGCAACAACAGAGAAUCCAAAAUAAUUUUAGUUGCAUGGCUAUGAAAAUCCAAAGGGCACUACUUCCCAAGUAGAAACCGACACAUUAAAUAGAAAGCCAACAUGCAAGAGAUUGUUUUCCCCAAGUACAAGCAUGAUAAACUUUAGAUAAGGUGUAGUUACAUUGUUAAAAAUAAUAAUAAUAAAGCGGAAAAGUAGAGAAAAUUUAAUAACAAAUUCUACAUGUACGACUACUGUGUCAGUAAUUAUACAUGCAAGCCAAUAAAAACCAAUUAUAUACGUAUGCCAUUGACAGGUUUUAGAAGUAUGAGAAAAAUUGCAAAACAUGUAAAAUCAAAUGGUAACUGUGGUCACUGAAAUCUGGUCCAAACUAAAAAGCAGUUACUGAUGUACACUUUUUUCUAAAUUUAUUCAUUGAAUUUCUAUUAGUGUAUCAAUCCUUAACAAUUCAGAAACUGAACUAUGUUUAACAAUGAAGAAACGACGACUGGACUCCAUGAUGUAAAACAGUCCAACUUGACAGAUUUGAGAAAGGCCGCUUUCUUUUUUGUUGCCUUUCUCAUCAUGCAACCAGGUUGUGGUCAUUAUAUGGAACAUGAAAGAGAAAUACCUAUUUCCAUAAUGGCAACAUGAAAUGGUGAAUUUCCUUCAAACUUUUUAAUUGAAUUGCCUAGCCCAACAGGAGCAUUUUUUUGAGGACAGGCAAUCAUGCGUGCAGACCCCUUUUCCCAUUGAAGUCAUAAAUAUAUCCUCUCAACAGUUAUCAUGUAGUCUCAAAGCCGUAAUUUCCUUAUCCUUCGAAGAGUAAUAAUCCUAGACCUUUCAAGAGCACUUUCAAUUUCUAAGACUGCAACUCUAGCCUAAAGUUGAAAAUUGCCUCAUAAAGUCAAUUUCAUGUAAUACAGUCUAAAUCUGAAUACAUUGAUUUUCAACGAAAACUUAUCAUCCCAUGUUUUAAUCAUUACGCCAGUCAUUUCUGAAUAAGCAUCUAAGCACAAGUGUUUUAGCAUCAUCGAUUCCCCAUUCUUAAGAAUGCUAGAUAGUAGAUGGUGAACUAUUUUCUGAAAGCAAAAAUACAAAGCAACAUAUCUUUUAGUAUCAAACACUUCUUAUGGAAAUCAAUAACACAAACACCUCUUUUUAGCCGUCAAAACAUGAGAACAAUGUUUGUUAUCUGCUCAAGGGGCUGUUUGUUUAUUUCUAUCCUACGAGUUAAACUUCCUGUGUUUUAUGAGAACCAAAAUUAAGAGAUGCCUUUAUUUCUUCACUCUACUUAUCAUAGAAAACCGCUAUAACUCCCCAAAAAAAUUUGAAAAAUACAUGUCCAGCAGAGAAGUAUCUUCAUUGGCUAGGGUAACAUAAACUUACUGGAGUAUACAUUAAGCAUCCAAACUAAUACAGAAUACCAUGAACCCCAAACAGAAAUAAAUAUUUGAAUCCAAAAAAUAGAUUCCAAAAUCCUCACUCUGGUUUUCUUGUGAUAUGAGCUGAAAUAACGCCACUUUCAGUUUCAUUUAAAUGCAAUGCCUCAUACAUUUAGACAGGAUUUCAAUGAUGAACUUCAAUGGAGCUGUUUUCUGAUUUUACAAUCAGACUACAACCUAAAAGUGAAUAACUAUCAGCAACUGAGAGCUAUAACCCACCUAAACGUUUCAACAUCUCAACAUUGAAACACAACAAUCACAUACUAAUAUUUUAUUUAUAGCUCAUCAUUGUAAACAGAGAUUAAAAAAAUAAAAAGGAAAAAAG